rnacentral:rRNA from 1 species
AUUGAACGCUGGCGGCAUGCCUUACACAUGCAAGUCGAACGGCAGCGGGGACUUCGGUCCGCCGGCGAGUGGCGAACGGGUGAGUAAAGUAUCGGAACGUACCUUUCAGUGGGGGAUAACGUAGCGAAAGUUACGCUAAUACCGCAUAUUCUGUGAGCAGGAAAGCAGGGGAUCGCAAGACCUUGCGCUGAUUGAGCGGCCGAUAUCAGAUUAGCUAGUUGGUGAGGUAAAGGCUCACCAAGGCGACGAUCUGUAGCGGGUCUGAGAGGAUGAUCCGCCACGCUGGAACUGAGACACGGUCCAGACUCCUACGGGAGGCAGCAGUGGGGAAUUUUGGACAAUGGGGGCAACCCUGAUCCAGCCAUGCCGCGUGAGUGAAGAAGGCCUUCGGGUUGUAAAGCUCUUUCGGCCGGGAGGAAAUCGCACAGGCUAAUACCCUGUGUGGAUGACAGUACCGGAAUAAGAAGCACCGGCUAACUACGUGCCAGCAGCCGCAGUAACAC